AUGAGGGGGUGGUGGGGGAUCUGACACCCUCUUCUGGCCUCUGAGGGCACUGCAUUCUCGUGUAAGUCUCACUCACACACACCUCGCACACAUACACAGUUAAAGAAAAACUAAUCUUUUAAAAGAACAAUCAAUGAUUUUUCUUUGACGUCAAUUUACUUUUUACACGCAUGGUUUUAAAAUGUGAUAAUUUGCUUUCAUAGGUGCUCCACAGACAAACUCUCAACAGGUCCCAUGAAUUAACGCUUAAAAGCUACUAAAAUCUAAGAAGAGUUAGAAAACUGUGGAGGGCUGCAGAUCUAAAACGAGCCUAGCUGAGGUCGCGAAUGGAAGGCACGAGCCAGCUGCAGGUGCAUUGGGAACUGGGUCGGAUGUGAAUGUGGAGCAAACUGCCUGUUUAGCGUCCCCGUCCCCGGUCCCUGCCCCCACCCCAACACUCAUGGGCCAGAGACUGUGGUCAGCUGCCUUGGCUGCACACUGGAAUCCUCUGGGGCAUUCUGGAAGCUGUGAACAUGAAGGACCGUGCUACAGCAAUUGAACAAGCUCUCUGCUGGAGGCACGAGGCGCCAGUGGUUCUAAUUACUCUCCAGCUGACUCAAGUGCUCCACCAGAGUGAAGACUCCUGGUGUAAGUGCAGGGAGGAGGGGUUUAACGCCGUAAAUGAGCGGAGCGGCAGCUGGUUCUGCUGUAAUCUCUCCUGGAUAAGUGGAGAAAAUGGAGCUGCUAGUGAGACACCGAGCGCCACCUUUUUUCUGUUUGCUGUGAGUCACUUGAGGGUAUUUGGAGACACCUGUGUCCAGUCUGAGUCAUUUCUCUCUCGGGUGUGACUCAGAUCCCACCCAGCAGGUCCACACUUUGGCUUCUUUAUGGCUGAGCUCCUUUGGUUCAGGUUUUAGCGAGUACAGAUCAAGUGUGGGGCAAAACAGCUGCUCUGAAUCAAGCUGGGGAGGAGAAGGCUGUGGGACGGUGAGGAUUGACCUCCUGCUGCGUGCUGGACUGUGAUUCAAUCCCAAGUGACAGCUGGCACUGACCAAGCAGCGCCAAGCCCAGAUUCCAGUCCCAGGCAACCAAUUCCCUCUGCAGGAUGAGUGUUUGACACCAAAGGGUGACUUCAGAGGUGCCACAGUCUGACUGUCAGGAGUGAAGGCGGCAGUGUAUCAGCGGUGGUGUGUUAUGGGAAAUUGGUUCACUCGGUUGUUUGCCCUGGUACUGGGCAAGGUCUCUCCUGCAAGGAUCCCUGCCUGGCCAGCAGAAGCCUGUCAGGUACCCACCCUACAUGUGGACUUUGUGCCUGAGCACUUUUGCACCGUGCCCCCUGCUUCGGUGUGACCCCCCACCUUUGCCUCAACCCGGGAGUAGAUUACCUACUGCCCCCCCUACGAGUUCAGUAACUGAUGACUCCCUAACACUGAGGUCCCCUUGGGUCUGUCUUUUGUUUGUUUGCUUUUCGAGACAGGAUUUCUGUCUUAAUUGUCCCAGCUCUCGUAGACCAGGCUGUUCUUGAACUCACAGAGAUCUGCCUUCCUCAGCUGCCUGAGUGCUGGGAUUAAAGGUGUGGGUCACCACCGCCCUGCUGGGUCUGUCUUUUUUAAGAACCUCCCAUAGGGUGUGGUCCGAGGCCUUCCUCUGGUUGGCUCUAGCCCUUAGUCCUGACGUCAUUGCUGUGGGGUAAUGACAAGGCAGGGCUCUAGAACCAAGCAACCAUUAACCAAUUAAAGGCUGUAGCAUGCCACCUCCAGCCUCCCUCGGCCAAGGAUGGGUGUGGAGAAGGCCCAACCCAAAAUUGUAAAUUUAUUUACAACCUUCAGGUUAUUUUUGGUGAUUUUUACUUUUCAGCCCAGUUCUUGAGCAUUAUCUUGGUAGAUGACAAUGUCGUGUUAUUAUAAUGGAAAAGGCAGAGUAAUGAAGCUGAGAUCUGUGGGCUCAGAACUGGGACUGUUUCCUGGAGGAGGCGGGACCAGGUGAGGCAGACGUGGAAUAGGGCUUUGGUCGUGAGCAGGGCCAGCCAGCUCUUUAGAGAAGGGUUGCUGAGAACUCUGAGGGUAGGGAAUGUCCUAAAUGCUUAACCAUAAACCCUGCCACACCAGAACUGGAAAGGGCUGGCUGUGCCAAGUGUGAUCAUUAAUUGCUGGAUUGGAGAAACAUGGAGGUUCUGGGAAAGGACAGGCAUAAUUGACUGGGGGCUGGGGCUCAGGGCAGCAGCCAUUUGUCAAGCAAUAUGACCAUGGUUACUGCUUAACCGUAGGAUGGUAUGCAGUAUUCACUGAUGGGAUGUCAGAGACUUGGCACUGACCCAGGCUCACAUCCCAGGCUUGGCAUGUGAGUGCUGCAAUCACAGGAACAAGCUGCACCCUUGUCUGCAGCGUGCCUGUGAGCCGUUGUUUGUGUCCCGCCGGAAAGGGUGGUGUGUCCCAGGACAGUCCAGAGACCCCUGGAGCCCCAGCUUAAGAAAUGCUGGAUGUCUCUGUUCCGACCCAGCCAGCGCCCUCCACCAACGUACCAGGCUCCACCCAGGAGCAGCCCAGAGCCUCCACAGAGGCCUCUGGGUCUGAGACUGUGUCCUUUGUGAAUCUGUCUCUGCAGGUCUUGUGAAGUUGGAAGGAAUUCCAGUGAUGACGGGACGAUGAAUCUAGACUUGCAAAGCCUCAUCUCCAGCCAGAGAACUCACAGGGUUGUCUCUGGGACAGGGUGCUCUGACCUUUGUAAUUAGACUUGUCCUUUGCCAAGAGGCUUUGUGAGAGAAGCAAGCAGAGGGCUCCAUGAUUCAUGGGGAGCCUCUCUGACAGGCCAGGAGCCCUCCCUGUAGGAGCAGAGAAACCCACACACUGUUCUAACAUAAAAUGAGUUAGGCCGUGAGGAGAGCCGAGUUCAGCUGCCGCAGUGAGUUCCGAGGUUAGGGGACUCACUUAGCAGGGAAGGUACCUUCAAAUGCAGAGACUUCACCCAGAACAUCAUCAAGGGAGGCUGGGGACCUUUGCAGGGAUCGUACAGGCUGCAGGACAGGCUUGCAACCAAAGAGCCAGGCAAGGCUAAUCCACAGAGAUGCAAAAAUUAAGACGGGCUGCAUAAUGCUGCCAGGGGCUGCGCCACGACCUGGAAACAAGGCCUUGUCCCCAUACCUUCAUGGUCACAUCCCCACCUGGUUUCUACAGUAUAGGAAGUCCGCAGCUGUGCGAGGAAGGGGGAAGCGGGUAGGUGCACCUUCAGGAACCCCUUGCGAGGCUUCUCCCAAACAGAGGCCUGGAGAGAUGGUUCAGCCGUUAAGCGUGAACACUGCUGUUACAGAGGAUCCGAGUUCAGUUCCCAGAUCUCCCAAACAGAAAGGUGCCUGGAAACCACACAGCCACAGCGAAGUGUCCCAAAGUGCUAGAAAUGCAGUGUGGCUGAUGGACACAGGGGUGUUCUUGUCCUGUCUUCACACCUGGAGACUAUCUAGUGACAGCGCCGUCUCACAGGUGAGAAAGCAGGCACCAGGCUCUGAGUUCAUCUUCCUCUUCCUCCUGGGGCAAAACCAACCACAAAGCUACAAAUGUGACACUCGGGGGUGGGUGGCUGAGAGGCUGAGCUCUGUAGACAGGUGGCAAAAGUCUCGAUUCUUAACCCUCCAGAGAGGCACAGUCCCUGCCUUGCGGGGUACUGCAUCAGUGAUCUAGAAUCGUGAUGUCAAGGGGCAGGCGAAGGUUUCCGGCAACACUGGUGACCUGCACAGUCUCCGGAUCCGGGUGGAGGCUGGGAGUGUGAAUACUCUGAAGUUGUAUGCACAGUGUCACAAGGACCCAUGGGAUGUUCCUGGACAAGGGCAGCGCCUUUCUGGGGUCCUCUGAGGAAAAUAUUUCCUGAGCGUUCCCAUUCCAGUUCCUGCAUAUCUGAUAGCAUGCCUGAUGAUCUAUCUGCGCAUGCGCCAUCAUUCGCUCUAGGCCUGGCAUCCCACCCUGCAGCCCUCAGUCCUCACCUCCAGUCACGCGUCACCACUGGAGGGACAUUCGAGGUGUUUAAAAGGCUUCUCAGAACAUGCUCGAACUGGAAAUCCUCAUUCCUCUCCCCUGGCAGCAAAACCCACUCAUUCCCAUCCUCGCUGCCAGCUCUGCCGCAGGCUGCUCUAUCUUCAUCCUCUGAGACCCCAUCCUUUAAGAUGUGGGUAAACAUGCUUGAUUAGUCUGAACAGAACUGUUCUUCUAUGCUGCCAAAGAGAAGUUUUACCAAGAAAACACAGAGAAUGAAGCUGGGAAAGGAGGAACUGGUCUUUAAAGGACCCUAUGAGAAUAAUUGCUGGGAUGUAAAUGCUACAUCGAAUCAUACGUGACUCACAGGUUCUUUGAAAGAGGCUGAGCAGAAUGUCUUCCUGGAAUUCUGUGGGUAGCAGCUCACAUUCCGUCACAACCGAGCCGCGAUUGCUGGUCCUCUGAGUCAGCUGUCCUCAGAAAUCCAUGUUAUCGUGAGCCUUAGAAAACCAUGGAACUCCGAGAAUGUCACCUGUCUAGUGUGUCUUGUGCCGUGUUCAGCUAGAGUACCUGGUCCCGAGCCCCAGGCUGAAUGUAACCUGGUAAGUGUUACUGCCUUGCAUCAAACACUACAUUAGCUUCACCAAGGGUGGGGACUUGGGACUCCAGUCCAAAGACCUCACAGAGAUAAAGGAUCUUUGCACAGAAGGAGCAAGAGAUGGGGAUGUGGUCCCGAUAUUUGUCUUGAAGAGGAGGUGUCUGAGUAGUUGGUGGCCCAGGCUUGGGGUGGUCACAGCACAGUGCAGGGAAGAGAGAAAGAUGGAAGAACAGAAAGGAAGCCAGCCCUCACGGCACAGGAAGACGGCGUAGGGCUCAGGCACACAGGAGAGUCAGCACAAGUCAGAGAAGGGGAAGAAGGCAAUGGAAUUUACCUGCUCGCCCUUCCUGGCCUUAGCUCUCUCUGCGGGGCCUCCAUUGCCAUGCGGAUCGGGCAGUGGUGGCACACACCUUUAAUCUCAGUAGCCAUACUAGUUAGCCAUAGAAAACAGGAGGUGGUGGUGCACACCUUUAAUCUAGCACUAGAGAGGAAUUUAAAACAGGAGGAGACAGCUCUCAGCUCAGUCUCAUUCUGAGGAUUUGUGGAGGCAGGACCGCCACUUCAGUCUGAGGUAGAGGUAAGAGCCAGGAGUUGGCUGAUUUGCCUUUCUGAUCUUCUAUUGAACCCCAAUAUCUGUGUCUGGGUUUUUAUUAUUUGUGCUACAGUUGCUAGUGAGACCCAGGCCUACAUUUCAUUCAUUCAGCUUUACCUGGGGGGCAUAUGAAAAGACACAGGUCCCAGCUGUCUUGCUUUGCAAGACUGGGAGAAGAUAGAAGAGGGGCCUGCACUCUAUGGCAUUCAUUCAUUCAUUCGUUCACUCCUCACUCACUCAUUCAUUCUUUGAGGAAGGCAGAGGCCUUGCGACUUGAUCACUGUUUGCUAGGCAGCUCUCCAUGCCAUUGAACUGGAGACAGAACUGUCAACACCUGAGCUCUGGGGGACACACUCAAGCCGUAGGAACAGUGUUCCUGCAGAAGUGAUGGUUCCAGUGGCCAGUGCUGGAGACUUGGUCCCAUGAUAAACUAAGAGUUCCUUUCUAUUCCAUCACAGCCACAACCCCACCAGACCUCCAAAGGCCAUUUAAACACACCCAUUCCUCUACAUUGACAUUACGUUAGGCAGCCUAUAACUAUAAAUUUCCCAGGGAAAUUGAAGGGGAGAGGGACUUAAAUGUCUCACUUAGCAAAAGAUCCUAACCCCAUUUCUCUAUGAUGUUUAAAUACUAAUUCUGUGAUACUGUGGAAGUCACUUAACCCCUCUGAGCAACUGUGGCAAUUUCAUGAGACCCAGGGUAUUAUAUAUAACAUAGGAGUCAAUGAAAUCACCAUGGCAACAGCACUUUUGCACUCCAGCGUACUGAACAAGGUAGGGGCUGUCCUGCCUCCUCUCUGCACCCCUGUUCGCUGGUCCUCUCUAGUGGUUCUUCCUUCUUUCUUUGACCCUCUUGAGCUUGGCUCUAGCUCUGUUCCUAGUAGCUCUCCCACCAGCUCUUGCCCCUGAAUUCAAGCCUAAUUCUACCCUCUGUUCCUUGGAGUCACCCUGAGCGGU